rnacentral:rRNA from 1 species
AUAUUUUGAAGGGCCGCGGUAUAUUGACCGUGCAAAGGUAGCAUAAUAGUUAGGUUUUUAAUUGAGAUCUUGUAUGAAUGGUCUGACAAGGAAAGAUCUGUCUUUAUAUUGUUGAUUGAAAUUAACUUUUAAGUGAAAAGGCUUAAAUAGCUUAAGGGGACGAUAAGACCCUAUAAAACGUUAUGUUGGGGCGACAUGAAUAAAAUUGAUAACUGUUUAGUAUAUAGAGACAAGUAUUUGUGUAAUGAUCCUAGAUUAUAGAUUAAUAGAUUAAGUUACUUUAGGGAUAACAGCGUUAUUUUUUUUGAGAGUACUUAUCGAAAAAAAAGUUUGCGACCUCGAUGUUGAAUUAAAAUUUCUAUACAAUUGCAGAAGUUGUAUAAGAAGGUCUGUUCGACCUUUAAAUUUUU